UGGUGGAGUGAUUUGUCUGGUUAACUCCGUUAACGAACGAGACCUCAGCCUGCUAAUUAGUUAUGCGAAUAUUUAUAUUCGUAGAAACACUUCUUAGAGGGACUGCGUAUAUCCAGUACGAGGAAGUUUGAGGCAAUAACA
rnacentral:rRNA from 1 species